GGGAGUGCUCGCAAGAGAACCGGAACACAGGUGCUGCAUGGCUGUCGUCAGCUCGUGUCGUGAGAUGUUGGGUUAAGUCCCGCAACGAGCGCAACCCUUGCCAUUAGUUGCUACGAAGGCACUCUAAUGGGACUGCCGGUGACAAACCGGAGGAAGGUGGGGAUGACGUCAAGUCCUCAUGGCCCUUAUAGGUGGGGCUACACACGUCAUACAAUGGCCGGUACAGAGGGUAGCCAACCCGCGAGGGGGAGCCAAUCCCACAAAGCCGGUCGUAGUCCGGAUCGCAGUCUGCAACUCGACUGCGUGAAGUCGGAAUCGCUAGUAAUCGCGGAUCAGCAUGUCGCGGUGAAUACGUUCCCGGGUCUU
rnacentral:rRNA from 1 species